AGCAUUUCUCCGGUCUGUUAAAAAAAAACUUAGAUUUUUCCAGACCACAUUCUUGAAAGUAAAAAACCCUUAAAAUAUCAAUCCGAAGACCUUCAAGAGAAAAAGAAGAGAUAAUGAAAGAUGUUGGGUUCAACCUUUGGCUUAAAGCAAGGAAGCAAUUGUAGUUACAGGGCCACAAUUUAUAUAAUUUGUGAAACAACAUUUCUCCUGACUAAGCUGCCUUUACGACUAAAAUAGGGUUAGAGUCUCCAGCUAUGCAUGACUGAU